rnacentral:rRNA from 1 species
AUUGAACGCUGGCGGCAGGCCUAACACAUGCAAGUCGAACGAGUGGCGGACGGGUGUGUAAUGUCUGGGAAACUGCCUGAUGGCGGGGGAUAACUACUGGAAACGGUAGCUAAUACCGCAUACCAUUAGAUGUGCCCAGAUGGGCUUAGCUUGUGGGUGGUGUAAGGGCUCACCAAGGCGCGGAUCCCUAGCGGGUCUGAGCGGAUGACCAGCCACACUGGAACGGAGAGACGGUCCAGACUCCUACGGGAGGCAGACGUGGGGAAUAUUGGACAAUGGGUGCAAGCCUGAUACAGCCAUGCCGCGUGUAUGAAGAAGGCCUUCGAGUUGUAAAGUACUUUCAGCGGGGAGGCGUUACCCGCAGAAGAAGCACCGGCUAACUCCGUGCCAGCCGCCGCGGUAAUAC